UGGGGAAUAUUGCACAAUGGGCGCAAGCCUGAUGCAGCCAUGCCGCGUGUGUGAAGAAGGCCUUCGGGUUGUAAAGCACUUUCAGCGGGGAGGAAGGCGAUAAGGUUAAUAACCUUGUCGAUUGACGUUACCCGCAGAAGAAGCACCGGCUAACUCCGUGCCAGCAGCCGCGGUAAUACGGAGGGUGCAAGCAUUAAUCGGAAUUACUGGGCGUAAAGCGCACGCAGGCGGUCUGUCAAGUCGGAUGUGAAAUCCCCGGGCUUAACCUGGGAACUGCAUUCGAAACUGGCAGGCUAGAGUCUUGUAGAGGGGGGUAGAAUUCCAGGUGUAGCGGUGAAAUGCGUAGAGAUCUGGAGGAAUACCGGUGGCGAAGGCGGCCCCCUGGACAAAGACUGACGCUCAGGUGCGAAAGCGUGGGGAGCAAACAGG
rnacentral:rRNA from 1 species